GGCUGUGAGGGCGAUCUGGCUGCGACGUCUGUCAUGCCAUCGAUUGAUAGGGUCGAUUCGACUGAUCUUGCUGGCCAGACGGGUGUCCCCCUCCUCCCUCACUGCUCCUCGUGCAUCCCUCCCAAAGCUACAUGCUGCAUCGACCAUCCCUGACAGAGGAGGACCAGUCUUCGGUCAAGGGUAUAUGAGUAGCUGCACUCCCCUGCUAGAACCUCCAAACAAGCUCUCAAGGUCCAAAGGACACUGGGGAUUAGGGUUUCAACACAGGAAUUUGGGGUGCCCAGUGCAACCCAUAAGCUAUGGCCUCCCAUGGGAU
rfam:Macaca mulatta chromosome 5, whole genome shotgun sequence.